rnacentral:rRNA from 1 species
UACGAAGGGGGCUAGCGUUGCUCGGAAUCACUGGGCGUAAAGGGCGCGUAGGCGGCCAUUCAAGUCGGAGGUGAAAGCCCAGGGCUCAACCCUGGAAUUGCCUUCGAUACUGUUUGGCUAGAGACCGGAAGAGGUAAGUGGAACUGCGAGUGUAGAGGUGAAAUUCGUAGAUAUUCGCAAGAACACCAGUGGCGAAGGCGGCUCACUGGCCCGUAACUGACGCUGAGGCACGAAAGCGUGGGGAGCGAACAGG